AGAGUUUGAUCAUGGCUCAGGACGAACGCUGGCGGCGUGCCUAAUACAUGCAAGUCGAGCGAAUCUUUGGGAGCUUGCUCCCAUUGGUUAGCGGCGGACGGGUGAGUAACACGUGGGCAACCUGCCUGUAAGACUGGGAUAACUUCGGGAAACCGGAGCUAAUACCGGAUAAUCCAUUUCCUCUCAUGGGGGAAUGCUGAAAGAUGGUUUCGGCUAUCACUUACAGAUGGGCCCGCGGCGCAUUAGCUAGUUGGUGAGGUAACGGCUCACCAAGGCGACGAUGCGUAGCCGACCUGAGAGGGUGAUCGGCCACACUGGGACUGAGACACGGCCCAGACUCCUACGGGAGGCAGCAGUAGGGAAUCUUCCGCAAUGGACGAAAGUCUGACGGAGCAACGCCGCGUGAGCGAAGAAGGCUUUCGGGUCGUAAAGCUCUGUUGUUAGGGAAGAACAAGUAUCGGAGUAACUGCCGGUACCUUGACGGUACCUAACCAGAAAGCCACGGCUAACUACGUGCCAGCAGCCGCGGUAAUACGUAGGUGGCAAGCGUUGUCCGGAAUUAUUGGGCGUAAAGCGCGCGCAGGCGGUCCUUUAAGUCUGAUGUGAAAGCCCACGGCUCAACCGUGGAGGGUCAUUGGAAACUGGGGGACUUGAGUGCAGAAGAGGAAAGUGGAAUUCCACGUGUAGCGGUGAAAUGCGUAGAGAUGUGGAGGAACACCAGUGGCGAAGGCGACUUUCUGGUCUGUAACUGACGCUGAGGCGCGAAAGCGUGGGGAGCAAACAGGAUUAGAUACCCUGGUAGUCCACGCCGUAAACGAUGAGUGCUAAGUGUUAGAGGGUUUCCGCCCUUUAGUGCUGCAGCUAACGCAUUAAGCACUCCGCCUGGGGAGUACGGCCGCAAGGCUGAAACUUAAAUGAAUUGACGG
rnacentral:rRNA from 1 species